UUGAUUGAUUCAAUCUUUGCUCAGACGCACUGAUGCGGGGUUUGAGGGUCCUCUGGGGGCCCCGGCGACCCCGAAGGGGCCGGGUCGCCCCCGAGGCAACAGAGUCGAAACACAUGGGGUUGGAGGUCGGGCCGCGGGGGCCCUCGCUCGGUAAUGAUCCCUCCGCAGGUUCACCUACGGAGA
rnacentral:misc_RNA from 1 species